GACGAACGCUGGCGGCGUGCUUAACACAUGCAAGUCGAACGAUGAAGCUGGAGCUUGCUCCGGUGGAUUAGUGGCGAACGGGUGAGUAACACGUGAGCAAUCUGCCCUUGACUCUGGGAUAACUGCGGGAAACUGUAGCUAAUACCGGAUACGAGGCUCGAAGGCAUCUUCGGGUCUGGAAAGAAUUUCGGUCAAGGAUGAGCUCGCGGCCUAUCAGCGUGUUGGUGAGGUAAUGAGUCACCAAGGCGACGACGGGUAGCCGGCCUGAGAGGGGGACCGGCCAAACUGGAGCCGAGACACGGUCCAGACUCCUACGGGAGGCAGCCGUGGGGAAUAUUGCACAAUGGGCGAGAGCCUGAUGCAGCAACGUCGCGUGAGGGAUGAAGGCCUUCGGGUUGUAAACCUCUUUUAGCAGGGAAGAAGCGAAAGUGACGGUACCUGCAGAAAAAGCACCGGCUAACUACGUGCCAGCAGCCGCGGUAA
rnacentral:rRNA from 1 species